GGCUUCAUAGAUCAGUUCGUAGAGCAUCGCACUCACGAGUAACGCGGAGGUCAUGGGUUCAAAUCCUGUUGAAGCCU